rnacentral:antisense_RNA from 1 species
UCUCCGAGCCUCAGUUUCCCCAUCUUCCGAAAGGGGCCUGGCAUAUCCUGGGCAGGCAGAUGGUGGAUCAGAGGUAGUGAGGUGCCUACAAGGAAAUGCUCCCAACAGGGUGGCUUGGAGGAAUCCUCCUUCCUCAGCACUCAUGGGCCGGGCACUGUUCUAGGCUGUGGGGGUGGGGAUCGAGCAGUGGCCACGCUGACAAAGCCCCUACCCUUGUGGAAGUGACAUUCUACUGAGGCCAUGGACACGUACAGUACCCAAUCUCCCACCCUCCACCUGCCAGAAUGACAGAGGCUCCCCCAUGGAGAUUCCUGGCAUGCCCAGCCCCACGUCUGGGUUGAGAGUAGUGACUCAGGAGAAAAUGAAGGCUACUGCUAGCAACCAAAUGAGGUCACCGUCAAGAUUCCCGGAUAGAAGUCAUUCAUGAGACACA